AUUCGAUAGUACCUUACUACUUGGAUAACCGUGGAAAUUCUAGAGCUAAUACAUGCUUACAACCCCAACUUCGGGAGGGGUGUAUUUAUUAGAUAAAAAACCAACGCCCUUCGGGGCUUCUUGGUGAUUCAUGAUAACUUUACGGAUCGCAUGGCCUUGCGCCGGCGACGGUUCAUUCAAAUUUCUGCCCUAUCAACUUUCGAUGGUAAGGUAUUGGCUUACCAUGGUUUCAACGGGUAACGGGGAAUUAGGGUUCGAUUCCGGAGAGGGAGCCUGAGAAACGGCUACCACAUCCAAGGAAGGCAGCAGGCGCGCAAAUUACCCAAUCCCGACACGGGGAGGUAGUGACAAUAAAUACUGAUACAGGGCUCUUUUGGGUCUUGUAAUUGGAAUGAGUACAAUUUAAACCUCUUAACGAGGAACAAUUGGAGGGCAAGUCUGGUGCCAGCAGCCGCGGUAAUUCCAGCUCCAAUAGCGUAUAUUAAAGUUGUUGCAGUUAAAAAGCUCGUAGUUGAACCUUGGGUCUGGCUGGCAGGUCCGCCUCACCGCGUGUACUUGUCCGGCCGGGCCUUCCUUCUGGAGAACCUCAUGCCCUUCACUGGGCGUGUUGGGGACCAGGACUUUUACUUUGAAAAAAUUAGAGUGUUCAAAGCAGGCCUUUGCUCGAAUACGUUAGCAUGGAAUAAUAGAAUAGGACGUGCGGUCCUAUUUUGUUGGUUUCUAGGACCGCCGUAAUGAUUAAUAGGGACAGUCGGGGGCAUCAGUAUUCAAUUGUCAGAGGUGAAAUUCUUGGAUUUAUUGAAGACUAACUACUGCGAAAGCAUUUGCCAAGGAUGUUUUCAUUAAUCAGUGAACGAAAGUUAGGGGAUCGAAGACGAUCAGAUACCGUCGUAGUCUUAACCGUAAACUAUGCCGACUAGGGAUCGGGCGAUGUUCUUUUUCUGACUCGCUCGGCACCUUACGAGAAAUCAAAGUUUUUGGGUUCUGGGGGGAGUAUGGUCGCAAGGCUGAAACUUAAAGAAAUUGACGGAAGGGCACCACCAGGCGUGGAGCCUGCGGCUUAAUUUGACCCAACACGGGGAAACUCACCAGGUCCAGAUGAAAUAAGGAUUGACAGAUUGAGAGCUCUUUCUUGAUUUUUCAGGUGGUGGUGCAUGGCCGUUCUUAGUUGGUGGAGUGAUUUGUCUGCUUAAUUGCGAUAACGAACGAGACCUUAACCUGCUAAAUAGCCAGGCUAGCUUUGGCUGGUCGCCGGCUUCUUAGAGGGACUAUCGGCUCAAGCCGAUGGAAGUU
rnacentral:rRNA from 1 species